UUUUUUUUUUUUUUUUUGUCUUUUUGCCAUUUCUUGGGCUGCUCCCGCAGCAUAUGGGAGGUUCCCAGGCUAGGGGUCUAAUCGGAGCUGUAGCCACUGGCUUACGCCAGAGCCACAGCAACGCCAGAUCCAAGCUGCGUCUGCCACCUACGCCACAGCUCACAGCAACCCACUGACCAAGGCCAGAGAUUGAACCUGCAUCCUCAUGGAUACUGGUCGGCUUGGUAACCUACUGAGCCAUGACGGGAACUCCCUGUUUGGGUCAUUUACAGGAGCACUGCCUCUGGUACCGAGAAUACCCCUGCCCCCUCUCUGAUGGCCCUUCUCACACGCUGUGGACUUCCUGGCCUGUCUGCAGUGGCAGCAGCAGUCUGUCACUUUCAUUAGCAGAGCCGCCAAGAGGCUUCUAUGAUUGAGACUCAGUGUCACGUGAGGACAGGGAGAAAGUCCAUGGAAAAUUCACACCCUGCUACGUUCUGAAUGGCUCUGCCUAAGUUGGCAUCAUAGAAAUGGCACCUGCUGCAUUCACAAAAGACUUCUUACCAAUGUGGUAAAUGAAGGCCCUUAAUACCUUCAUCUUCUCAAUAAUCCAAAGAGGUAGGUAUCAUUGCCUUCACAUAACAUCAGUGAAAAAAAAAAGUGCCUCCUCUGGGCCACUGUGCCCUCUCUGUCUCCAGGGAGUUGAGAAUCCCUGUCCCAAGGUACCUCCUCCUCUCCUCCUGUGGCCACCAUGCCUGCCAGGCCCCAUCGCCCCCACCUGGAGCCCUCGAACCAACCCGACCUGGGCUCCUUGCCACCCGUGCCCCUCCCUCAAGCCACCUUCCUCACCCCUGCCCCUGAACAGGGGCCAGCCCCUCUCAGCGUACAACUCUCUCAUCCUCCCCGGCCGGGGUCGAGCUCACGAUCCUGGGCACAGCAUUCAAGGCCCCCAUCAUCUCGUGCCGGCCAUGUCUCUGACCACCUCUCGGAGGCCCCUCGGUCCUCACAAUGCUGGCUGUUCCAGAACAACUGCUCUGAAGUAUCAGAUAAGAAAAAAAAAACCACCACCCAUUUGAGGGUCACGAUCACCGGGAUGCCACACAGCUCGAUUCCCUGAGCAGGUGUCGCAAAUUUCACCACUCAAGGCGGCUGAUGCUUUGGCACACAGGAGGGCAGAAAGACCAGAGGCUUGUCUCGGGGCAGAGUGAAGUCGCCUGGAAGAUGGAUCAGACGCAUCGCGAUCUCUGCUUCCUUUCCGAGCCUGAGCAGAAAAAAAACCCUGCCACCCAGAUGGUAAGUAACUCCUAAAUCCCUCUUUAAUGAACUGGGUAAUCUCAAUGAGAACGCCCACCUCUUGGUGUUUUUAGCCUUCAGAAUGCAGGUCUGCCGUCCUGGACCUGGGACUGAGAAAAGCAAAGCGGGGAUUCGCUCAGGCAAAUCCUAUGAGAUGUUCCAUCUAAUGGGAUAACAGGAGUUGAGGAAGGUUACUUGGGGUUUUGCAGGUUUGCCUGACAUUGGGGUGUUCUUCAUCCUCCAUAACCCUCCUGAAGUGGGGAGGAGGCUGGCACAUCCCAGAGGCCAUUUAACCACCAGCUAUCGAUGGAGUGGCUCUAGGUGCCAGGCCCUGUGCCUGUGGGGGGCUGGGGCGGGGAAGAUGCUGCAGGCAACAGAUCAGGUUGAAGCUUGCCUUCUGGAGUCCCAAACAGGGACUGGGGACAAACUUAAUCACUGAGGGGAUGCAGAAUGGGGAGGGUGGACAGGGAGACCUCCCGAGACUUGCAGGCCUGUGAAUACUUCUUGAGGUGACACUGGAGCAGACACUUGCCAGACAGGCAGAGGCCUCUGGGAGGAGGGUCCCAGACCCAGGGAACAAAUGGUUAGCACACACCUGAUGCAGGAAUGUGCUAGCAUUCUCCAGGUGGCCAGCAUGGUGGCCACCAAGGGGAGGCCAGUGGCUGCUGAGGGAGGCAGGCUCCCCACCAUUCAGCUGUCUUGUAGACCCGGGGUCAGCAAACCACAGCCUAUGGGCCAAAUCUGGCCUACUUCCUGUUUUUAUGAAUAAAGUUUUAUUGGAAGCAGCUGGGUGCAUAUGCUGACAUAGUGCCUGUGUCUGCUUUGUUAAUGCCACUGCCAUUUGCUGUUCCAAGUUGAGUCGCUGCAACAGUGAAUGGCCACAGGGCUUACAAAGUCUAAAAUACUUUCUGGCCUUUUGUAAAAAAGUUUGCCAACCCCAUCAUAGGUCACGAGGAAAGUUUGGAUUUUGCUCUAUGACUCUAUAGGCAAUUAAGUAGCCACCAGAGGCUCCUACACAUUUAAGUGAUACGUUUUUUUCUUUGUUUUGUUUUUGUUUUUGUUUUUUUAUAGCCACAGGUUCAGCAUAUGUAAAUUCUCAGGCGAGGGGUCGAAUCAGAGCUGCACGUGCUGGCCCAGCCUGAACGCACCUGCGCUGCAGUGUGGGUGGGAGGAAACACAGAAUCCCCCUCACUGCUCUCCCUGCCCCAUCUCGGUCCUCCUCCACACAACAGCCAGGAUAGCCUUUUAAAGUAUGUCAGGAGUUCCCACUGUGGCUCAGCGGUAAUGAACCCAACCAGUAUCCAUGAGGACUCAGGUUCAAUCCCUGGCCCUGAUUAGUCAUUGUGCAAAGUGCUUCCAGAGACUUUGUUUCUUACAACAUUAAAGGAGAGAAUGCAUUCAAACACUUAAUCCCAUGCCUGGCACGCCAAAGUGUUGAAUAAAAGUUAAUAAAAUAGUUUAUAAAAAAUUCGCAAGAAGCAUCCGUCUACUAUCAAAGAGGGGAUUCUUUUUUUUUUUUGGUCUUUUGUCAUUUUAGGGCCACACCCAUGGCAUGUGAAGUUUCCCAGGCUAGGGGUCUAGUCGGAGCUAUAGCUGCCAGCC
rnacentral:lncRNA from 1 species